UAAGAGAAGAAUUUUCAAUGCAUAGACAAUUAUUUCUAAAAAGGUACCCUUCUAACAACAUGAUUUGCUGGUUAGGACAACAAGAUCGAUCCUCUAGAGCUUUCUUCACACACUUUUCCAAACUAAAGAUCAUCUCUGUACAGUUUUUUUCACAACUUCAAGCUCAAUACCUUCACUUGCAUGGAAGUGAGCGAAGACCGCCUUCUACUUAAAGCAUCAGCUACUUGAUUUAGGAUGCCAGGGGCCUGGCGCCUGAUAACAAAAUCGAUGAAAUGUUC
rnacentral:lncRNA from 1 species